rnacentral:tRNA from 1 species
GGGAUAAUAGUAUAGUGGUCAGUACUUCUCGUUGUGGACUUGCUCCGACAGCGACCGAGAGGACCCAGGUUCGAUUCCUGGUUAUCCCA